CCUGCUUCUUCCAUAGCUU
rnacentral:snRNA from 1 species